UACGUAGGUGACAAGCGUUGUCCGGAUUUACUGGGCGUAAAGGGUGCGUAGGCGGCGCGGUAAGUCGGGUGUGAAAUCUCGGAGCUUAACUCCGAAACUGCAUUCGAUACUGCCGUGCUUGAGGACUGGAGAGGAGACUGGAAUUUACGGUGUAGCGGUGAAAUGCGUAGAUAUCGUAAGGAAGACCAGUGGCGAAGGCGACUUCCUGGCCUGUUCUUGACGCUGAGGCGCGAAAGCUAGGGGAGCAAACGGG
rnacentral:rRNA from 1 species